CAUCGAAGAGUAUUUGAAUAAAUCAAAUUUGGGCAAUUGAAAGAAAGAGAAGCGCAAUGAAUGAAAGAAAGAGAAGCCGGAUAUGAAAAUCGUGAAGAAGCUGAGAGAGACAUAGGAGGAAACAAAUUAGGUUAGAGCAGGAGCGAGAAAGGAAGUUGAUGGAGAGGGAUAAGGAGAGGGGAGGGAGACAGACAGACGAGUAGAGAGAAGAUGAGAGGAUUAGUUGGUAAUGAAGGGAGAAGAGGAUGCAGCGAAGGAGAUUAGAUCGGAAAAAGAGAAUGGAUAGGAUCUCAAAUCUCUCAGGAUUGCAGUGUAUCAGAUGCAAGCAGAAUUCAAUUAUGGCAUCUCAAUUUAUCGUUGACGGCUGACCUGGGUUAUACAAUUGAAGUUCAUUGGCGCUGCCUUGAUGUAUGAUUGUGUGACUAUAUCAACUUCGGUUAUGCAUUAUAAUCCGGUGAAGGGAAAGAAUUUUGAGUGCUAUGCUAGUUACUUUGCCCACAAGAUGGGCGUCGAGUUCCAUAGACUCUGACCGAGAUUGAAGAACGAUGAAAAGAGUUGGUGCACAUGUGUACAUGCUUGUGGUUCAGAUAUUUCGAGUAUGAAAAUUUGAAGAAUCCAAUUCGUAUCAUCAAAGAAAGACUGGUACAUUGUAGGGCUUCAGAUAAUCAGCGAAGAAGAGCCACUGGCUAACUCAAGCACAUCAGAGGUGUAAUGGGUAAUUCGAGUACAAUGGAACUCUUGGCCGCAAUUCAACCACGAAGGAGCCUAUAGUCGCUUGUCCAGUCAGUAGUGCUGAGAAAAUGAGCCAUCCAGACGAAGAACAAACUGAUGCAGGGGAUGAUGUGACUAGUACUGGUAGCUUUGCAACUGAGAAGAAUUCGGCAAGCUUGAGACAUGAGGAUAUCUUGUUUGAACGUGAAGCAGAGCCCGUUCAUGUACCUCGAAUUGCAUUACCGAUAAUAAAGUGUCAAUGAAGAAGGCCUUCCGCCAGCUUUCAAGAGCAGAAACGAUGUUAAAAGAGCAGCAGCCGAGAGCAAAAGUAACGCUAAUGACGUCGAAGUUGCAAAUGAAGACGACAACAAAUCGGAGGUCAUAACCCAGAAUCAGAAGAAGGAAGAACCAGGUAAAAGAACUUCCCAACAAGAAGUAACCAGGAGGGUGUCUGAUGAUCAUAAUAAACCUGUCAAAGAACAAGUUAGUGUUGCUAAUGAAAAAGACAGCCAAUCAAAAUGCAGAGUUGAUAGAAGUGGUUGAUUUUCCUUUAGCAGAAGAUGCAAUUAGACUUUUAAGAAUGAAAACGGAGUUAAUUGUGAUUUAUAUUCAUCAAAUGGUAAUAUUGUGAAUCAUAAACUAACAAGGGCUUUAACGGAUUUGUUGAAGGAAGUUAGACUUCUUCUUCCCUUUUCCUAAAAAGCAAAGUACUGCUUUGCAAAAACACUUCACCAUU